AUAUAUAACUGAUAUAAAUGUGUGACUGAAAAGCCAAGUCAGUCACUGGAAACUACAAAAAUGAAAAGUCAGGGAGCCAAAAGCUGGCAGAAGCCAGAAGCAGGGACUGCCAUGUUCUCAACGACACAGAGCAAAUGACUGAAACAACAGCAGAUUGAAGUGCUGGGACAUGAGCCAACCUUCACUCACUGACAACUAAGUCACAGCCACAUCGUGGGCAGCAUCCUCAUAGCUGUGGUGCCAAGUCUGGGGUGAGUACUGGGACGGACAGGAGAGGGCACCCACUUCUGCCUUAGAAAGCAGAGGUAGCGUCUGCACAGAGGGACAUGAUGUGUAGAAAAGGGUCUGGCUGCUGUGUUGAGAAGUGGGGGCCCUCCAGGAAAUGAUGGUGGUUUCUCCAAGGAAUAGAAUAACACUGAGGAAGAGAUUCAAGACAUAUCUUAAGACAGAAAACUGAGUACAGAAUGUGAAGACAGGAAAGGGUGUCAUGGGAGUCUGUGAGCCUUAGAAGCCACCUUAGAUGAGAAGGUGGAAUCCACACUCACCACAGGCCUGAAGUCAGCACAUAGUUCCUAUUGAUAAUUUCUUAUGUCUUUGAGACAGGGUCUUAUAUAUCCCAAGCUGGUCUCAAUCUCUAUGUAGUUGAGGAUGACCUGUGAAUUUGUGUCUUGGUUUUUCAAUUCUGAGAUUUUGAACUCAUGCCUUGGUUUUACGGUUCUAAGAUAGUGGGUUCAAGUCCCACCUUGUGCCUUGGUUUUACGGUUCUGAGAUCAUGGGUUCAAGUCCCAAAUCAUGCCUUGGUUUUACAGUUCUGAGACAGUUCUGAGAUUGUGGGUUUGAGUCCCACCUCUUGUCUUGGUUUUACAGUUCUGAGAUUGUGGGUUCAAGUCUCACCUCGUAUUCUGUAUUCUGGCAGCUGCCACUGUGGGCUGUAAGAACCCAGUAGCCUCGGGAGGAAGACGCCCAGAGGCCCCCGCAAGCUGCGACCCCUGGAAGACGUUCCAAGGGUGAGGGACAGUCAGAAAGGUCUGACUAUCAUCUGGCAGAGUGAGGAAUGAGUGUGCUUAGAUACUGGUGUUUUUUUUUCUUCUCUGUUGCUGUCUUGUUUGUGUUUGUGGUUUUUGUCAUGGGACAGACUAUGUGUGUGGUGCCGACUGUGGACUUGGACUGAUGUUAGGACAGAAUUUGUCAGUGAUAGUUAAGAAAAACAACUCAGUGCACGUUCCUGGCGGCAGGCAGCUGCAGGGCCGGACUGAGAACUUCUGGCUUCGGCGGCAGCAGCAUGCACUGGCCAAGGUGAGGCACCACAUGGGAAACCGUGGCCCAGGGGGGAACACCCAUGCAGAGGUUUCCCUGGGAUGCCCACCCCACCACCACCACCACGCAUUUUACCGCUGGUACACGGAUGGCAGUAGCCUCGAGGUUGAAAGACUGAGAUGGCCAAUGUAAUAGCCAAGAAGAUCCUAGAAGAAAUCUUCCCGAGGUUUGGGAUAUCCAAGGUAAUCAGGUCCAAUAAUGGACCUGCCUUUGUUGCCCAGGCUGGCUUCAAACCCUGUAUCUACCUCCCGAGUGUUGGGAUUACAGAUGUGUACCACCAUGCUGGGUAUAUUCAGUGCUGGAGAUUGAGCCCGCAGCUUCAUGACUGCCAGGCAAGCACUGCCUUCACUAAAUGCAGCCCCAGAGCUAUAGCUGAAACCUUGCAUGAGCUUCUUCUUCUUGCCUAUUACCAUCAACAUCUUCCUAUAAGCAUGCUACUCAUAGUUAAUCUUUCUGGGUUUUAAAGGCACUUAUUUUACACGCAUUGGGUAUUUUUGCAUGCGUGUAUGUAUGUAUGUGUACCAUGUGCAUGCUUACACCCGGCUGUGGGCCAACAUAUGGGUGCUCGGAACCAAAUCCAGGUCCUGCAGGAAAAGCACGUGCUGCUGACCUCUGAGCCACCUCUCCAGCCCUAAUCAUUGCAUCUUCAUUUGUAUCUUGAAAGAAAAUACAUUUUUUCAAGUUUUUUUUCCCAAGUUUGGCUACUUACUUCAUCAAACGUGGUAUACAGAAUUGUUGACUGCAGAAAAGGGAAGAUAAAAAAGAGAAACAAUUAAAAAGAACAGCAGUAUUCUGCAAAAUCAGAAACAAUUCUGGCUUCAGAAAAUGUUGAUGCUUUUGCAACACCAUGAAGUUGAAAGGGCAGUUUGGAAACAGAACCAUCUUAUGUAAUCACAAUUCAAAUAAAUAUAUGCUGUAACAGCAAAUAAAGCA